AGUUUCUCUUUAUUUUUGUCAUUGUUAUGUUUCCACCAAAUCUUAUCCUAUUAGCAUUCUCGCUAUAUCCACGGUCUUUCUGGUGACUCUGAUUGAUGCAAGAAUUGGAGCUACUCCAUCCUUUGAUCACUUGAUAAUCAGGAGUUCCAAACUUGCCACGCGGAAGGUGGGUAAUGAAGGUGGUGAUCUGACACGCUAGCGAUCGCUUCUCUCGUGUGGGACCGAUUCAAGGGGAAUUGAUGGAAAGAAGGGUGAUUGACUCGCUCAAUCAGUCGGGU